rnacentral:rRNA from 1 species
AGAGUUUGAUCAUGGCUCAGAACGAACGCUGGCGGCGUGUCUUAAGCAUGCAAGUCGAACGGGAACUUGAAGCUUGCUUCGGGGGACAGUGGCGAACGGGUGAGUAACACGUGGGUAAUCUGCCCUUUGGAUGGGGGAUAGCACUAGGAAACUAGUGGUAAUACCGCAUAUUGUCGCACUAUCAAAAGAUAGAGUGAUGAAAGGUGCCCUCUGCAUAUGGUGCCGUCCGAGGAUGAGCCCGCGGGCUAUUAGUUUGUUGGUAGGGUAAAAGCCUACCAAGACUACGAUGGCUAGCCGGCCUGAGAGGGUGUGCGGUCACAUUGGGACUGAGAUACGGCCCAGACUCCUACGGGAGGCAGCAGCUAAGAAUAUUCCGCAAUGGGCGAAAGCCUGACGGAGCGACGCCGCGUGGACGAUGAAGGCCUUCGGGUUGUAAAGUCCUUUUCUCAGGGAAGAAUAAAACUGGAAAUAAUCAGCCGGUUGAUGACGGUACCUGAGGAAUAAGCCCCGGCUAAUUACGUGCCAGCAGCCGCGGUAAUACGUAUGGGGCGAGCGUUGUUCGGAUUUACUGGGCGUAAAGGGCUUGUAGGUGGUGAGUCAAGUCGGAUGUGAAAUCUCUGGGCUUAACCCGGAAAUUGCAUUCGAAACUGGUUCGCUAGAGUACCGGAGAGGGAAACGGAAUUCCUGGUGUAGGGGUGAAAUCUGUAGAUAUCAGGAAGAACACCGGUGGCGAAGGCGGUUUCCUGGCCGGAUACUGACACUGAGGAGCGAAAGCUAGGGGAGCAAACAGGAUUAGAUACCCUGGUAGUCCUAGCCGUAAACGUUGUGCACUAGGUGUAAGUGGUUCUAUCCACUUGUGCCGCAGCUAACGCAUUAAGUGCACCGCCUGGGGAGUAUGCUCGCAAGGGUGAAACUCAAAUGAAUUGACGG